UACGAAGGGUGCAAACGUUGCUCGGAAUUAUUGGGCGUAAAGCGCACGUAGGCGGCUUGGCAAGUCGGAUGUGAAAUCCCUCGGCUCAACCAAGGAAGUGCAUCCGAAACUGCCGAGCUUGAGUACUUAAGAGGAUCGCGGAAUUCCCGGUGUAGAGGUGAAAUUCGUAGAUAUCGGGAGGAACACCAGUGGCGAAGGCGGCUCACUGGCUCGACACUGACGCUGAGGUGCGAAAGCGUGGGGAGCAAACAGG
rnacentral:rRNA from 1 species